rnacentral:rRNA from 1 species
UACAGGGGGUGCAAACGUUGCUCGGAAUUAUUGGGCGUAAAGCGCGCGUAGGCGGCUACCUAAGUCGGAUGUGAAAGCCCCUGGCUUAACUGGGGAAGUGCACCCGAAACUGAGUAGCUAGGAGUGCGAAAGAGGGUCGCGGAAUUCCCGGUGUAGAGGUGAAAUUCGUAGAUAUCGGGAGGAACACCGGUGGCGAAGGCGGCGACCUGGGUCGACACUGACGCUGAGGCGCGAAAGCGUGGGGAGCAAACAGG